rnacentral:rRNA from 11 species
UUUUAAAGCCCUAAAUAGAGUAAAGAAACCAAAUCCCAUCUGACCUUGGAAGCUAAGCAAGGUAAGCUCUGGUUGAUACCUGAAUGGAAGACUGCCAAUGAAUAGCAGAUGCUGUAGGGC